rnacentral:rRNA from 2 species
GGUUAAGCGACUAAGCGUACACGGUGGAUGCCCUGGCAGUCAGAGGCGAUGAAGGACGUGCUAAUCUGCGAUAAGCGUCGGUAAGGUGAUAUGAACCGUUAUAACCGGCGAUUUCCGAAUGGGGAAACCCAGUGUGAUUCGUCACACUAUCAUUAACUGAAUCCAUAGGUUAAUGAGGCGAACCGGGGGAACUGAAACAUCUAAGUACCCCGAGGAAAAGAAAUCAACCGAGAUUCCCCCAGUAGCGGCGAGCGAACGGGGAGCAGCCCAGAGCCUGAAUCAGUGUGUGUGUUAGUGGAAGCGUCUGGAAAGGCGCGCGAUACAGGGUGACAGCCCCGUACACAAAAAUGCACAUGCUGUGAGCUCGAUGAGUAGGGCGGGACACGUGGUAUCCUGUCUGAAUAUGGGGGGACCAUCCUCCAAGGCUAAAUACUCCUGACUGACCGAUAGUGAACCAGUACCGUGAGGGAAAGGCGAAAAGAACCCCGGCGAGGGGAGUGAAAAAGAACCUGAAACCGUGUACGUACAAGCAGUGGGAGCACAGAGCAAUCUGUGUGACUGCGUACCUUUUGUAUAAUGGGUCAGCGACUUAUAUUCUGUAGCAAGGUUAACCGAAUAGGGGAGCCGAAGGGAAACCGAGUCUUAACUGGGCGUUAAGUUGCAGGGUAUAGACCCGAAACCCGGUGAUCUAGCCAUGGGCAGGUUGAAGGUUGGGUAACACUAACUGGAGGACCGAACCGACUAAUGUUGAAAAAUUAGCGGAUGACUUGUGGCUGGGGGUGAAAGGCCAAUCAAACCGGGAGAUAGCUGGUUCUCCCCGAAAGCUAUUUAGGUAGCGCCUCGUGAAUUCAUCUCCGGGGGUAGAGCACUGUUUCGGCAAGGGGGUCAUCCCGACUUACCAACCCGAUGCAAACUGCGAAUACCGGAGAAUGUUAUCACGGGAGACACACGGCGGGUGCUAACGUCCGUCGUGAAGAGGGAAACAACCCAGACCGCCAGCUAAGGUCCCAAAGUCAUGGUUAAGUGGGAAACGAUGUGGGAAGGCCCAGACAGCCAGGAUGUUGGCUUAGAAGCAGCCAUCAUUUAAAGAAAGCGUAAUAGCUCACUGGUCGAGUCGGCCUGCGCGGAAGAUGUAACGGGGCUAAACCAUGCACCGAAGCUGCGGCAGCGACGCUGAUGCGUUGUUGGGUAGGGGAGCGUUCUGUAAGCCUGUGAAGGUGUGCUGUGAGGCAUGCUGGAGGUAUCAGAAGUGCGAAUGCUGACAUAAGUAACGAUAAAGCGGGUGAAAAGCCCGCUCGCCGGAAGACCAAGGGUUCCUGUCCAACGUUAAUCGGGGCAGGGUGAGUCGACCCCUAAGGCGAGGCCGAAAGGCGUAGUCGAUGGGAAACAGGUUAAUAUUCCUGUACUUGGUGUUACUGCGAAGGGGGGACGGAGAAGGCUAUGUUGGCCGGGCGACGGUUGUCCCGGUUUAAGCGUGUAGGCUGGUUUUCCAGGCAAAUCCGGAAAAUCAAGGCUGAGGCGUGAUGACGAGGCACUACGGUGCUGAAGCAACAAAUGCCCUGCUUCCAGGAAAAGCCUCUAAGCAUCAGGUAACAUCAAAUCGUACCCCAAACCGACACAGGUGGUCAGGUAGAGAAUACCAAGGCGCUUGAGAGAACUCGGGUGAAGGAACUAGGCAAAAUGGUGCCGUAACUUCGGGAGAAGGCACGCUGAUAUGUAGGUGAAGUCCCUCGCGGAUGGAGCUGAAAUCAGUCGAAGAUACCAGCUGGCUGCAACUGUUUAUUAAAAACACAGCACUGUGCAAACACGAAAGUGGACGUAUACGGUGUGACGCCUGCCCGGUGCCGGAAGGUUAAUUGAUGGGGUCAGCGCAAGCGAAGCUCUUGAUCGAAGCCCCGGUAAACGGCGGCCGUAACUAUAACGGUCCUAAGGUAGCGAAAUUCCUUGUCGGGUAAGUUCCGACCUGCACGAAUGGCGUAAUGAUGGCCAGGCUGUCUCCACCCGAGACUCAGUGAAAUUGAACUCGCUGUGAAGAUGCAGUGUACCCGCGGCAAGACGGAAAGACCCCGUGAACCUUUACUAUAGCUUGACACUGAACAUUGAGCCUUGAUGUGUAGGAUAGGUGGGAGGCUUUGAAGUGUGGACGCCAGUCUGCAUGGAGCCGGCCUUGAAAUACCACCCUUUAAUGUUUGAUGUUCUAACGUUGACCCGUGAUCCGGGUUGCGGACAGUGUCUGGUGGGUAGUUUGACUGGGGCGGUCUCCUCCUAAAGAGUAACGGAGGAGCACGAAGGUUGGCUAAUCCUGGUCGGACAUCAGGAGGUUAGUGCAAUGGCAUAAGCCAGCUUGACUGCGAGCGUGACGGCGCGAGCAGGUGCGAAAGCAGGUCAUAGUGAUCCGGUGGUUCUGAAUGGAAGGGCCAUCGCUCAACGGAUAAAAGGUACUCCGGGGAUAACAGGCUGAUACCGCCCAAGAGUUCAUAUCGACGGCGGUGUUUGGCACCUCGAUGUCGGCUCAUCACAUCCUGGGGCUGAAGUAGGUCCCAAGGGUAUGGCUGUUCGCCAUUUAAAGUGGUACGCGAGCUGGGUUUAGAACGUCGUGAGACAGUUCGGUCCCUAUCUGCCGUGGGCGCUGGAGAACUGAGGGGGGCUGCUCCUAGUACGAGAGGACCGGAGUGGACGCAUCACUGGUGUUCGGGUUGUCAUGCCAAUGGCACUGCCCGGUAGCUAAAUGCGGAAGAGAUAAGUGCUGAAAGCAUCUAAGCACGAAACUUGCCCCGAGAUGAGUUCUCCCUGACUCCUUGAGAGUCCUGAAGGAACGUUGAAGACGACGACGUUGAUAGGCCGGGUGUGUAAGCGCAGCGAUGCGUUGAGCUAACCGGUACUAAUGAACCGUGAGGCUUAACCUU